rnacentral:tRNA from 1 species
GGGGGCGUAGUUCAGUUGGUUAGAACGCCGGCCUGUCACGCCGGAGGCCGCGGGUUCGAGUCCCGUCGCUCCCGCCU